UGAGUACGAGUUUGAUCAGUGGACUCGAGGACGAACGCUGGCGGCGUGCCUAACACAUGCAAGUCGAACGGAGUUGCCCUUCGGGGUAACUUAGUGGCGAACGGGUGAGUAACGCGUGAGAAACCUGCCUUUCAGUGGGGGACAACAGUUGGAAACGACUGCUAAUACCGCAUAACAUAUUCGGGGGGCAUCCCCUGAAUAUCAAAGCUUAAUGUGCUGAAAGAUGGUCUCGCGUCUGAUUAGCUAGAUGGCGGGGUAACGGCCCACCAUGGCGACGAUCAGUAGCCGGUCUGAGAGGAUGAACGGCCACAUUGGGACUGAGAUACGGCCCAGACUCCUACGGGAGGCAGCAGUGGGGAAUAUUGGGCAAUGGGGGAAACCCUGACCCAGCAACGCCGCGUGAAGGAAGAAGGCCUUCGGGUUGUAAACUUCUUUUAGUAGGGACGAAUACGUGACGGUACCUACAGAAAAAGCAACGGCUAACUACGUG
rnacentral:rRNA from 1 species